AUUUAUUAGGGGAGAAGGGGGAGGGGGUUUAAUUCUAAUAUAUACAACUGUUUUGCACGUUUGAUUCUCUUUAAAUAUGCAACAUCGGGUAUUGUGAUUAUCAGUAAAAUAUCAUAAUUAUCUUUCAAAUACAAUACUUUCAUGUUUCACGAUUUUAUACAUUAAUUAAUUGGUUGCAGGAGAAAGGGGUGGGGAGUAGGGAUGGGGGGUGCUAAACAGAGAAAUUACGAUAUACCAUAUAUAUGACUGAGUAUUACAACGUGCUCACAAUCUUAUUUAUUUUCUAAAUCUUUCCCUGUCAAUGUUAUUAGUCCAGGUUCGUUGUUU